rnacentral:rRNA from 1 species
UACGGAAGGCAGCAGUGGGGAAUAUUGCACAAUGGGCGCAAGCCUGAUGCAGCCAUGCCGCGUGUAUGAAGAAGGCCUUCGGGUUGUAAAGUACUUUCAGUCGUGAGGAAGGUGUUAAGGUUAAUAACCUUAGCAAUUGACGUUAGCGACAGAAGAAGCACCGGCUAACUCCGUGCCAGCAGCCGCGGUAAUACGGAGGGUGCGAGCGUUAAUCGGAAUUACUGGGCGUAAAGGGCACGCAGGCGGUUAAUUAAGUUGGAUGUGAAAUCCCCGGGCUUAACCUGGGAAUGGCAUUCAAGACUGGUUAGCUAGAGUCUUGUAGAGGGGGUAGAAUUCCAUGUGUAGCGGUGAAAUGCGUAGAGAUGUGGAGGAUACCGGUGGCGAAGGCGGCCCCUGGGACAAAGGCUGACGCUCAUGUGCGAAAGCGUGGGGAGCGAAAC